rnacentral:lncRNA from 1 species
CCGAACUCUUACAGCGGUCGGUCUACCCCGGAUCUCUGCUGUAAGCAAAUUCCAUCCGAGCCUCUACUGUAAACAUAUUUCUUCCGAACUUCUAUUACAGGUAGACUUUAGCCGAGCUUCUUUAUAGCCGGAUCCCAGAUGAGCUUCUACAAUAGAACAGGACCCAUCGGUCAGGUCGCUACUCCGAGCUCCCAUGAUAAUUGAUCUUCGAUCGAGCUUCUACAAUAAGCGAUCUCCCUUCAGCCUUCUACAAGAACUAGACUCCGUCCGAACUUCCACAGCGGAUGGAU